rnacentral:rRNA from 1 species
AGGUCAAGGAAGAAAGAGCACGGGGCGAAUGCCUAGGCACCAAGAGCCGAAGAAAGACGUGAUAAGCUGCGAAAAGCUGCGGGGAGGAGCAAAUAUCCAGAGAGCCGCAGAUAUCUGAAUGGGGAAACCCGGCUGGCAAAAGGCCAGUCAUCCCUGGAGGAAGAAGAUAGUCCAGGGAGGGGAACUCGGCGAACUGAAACAUCUAAGUAGCCGGAGGAAAAGAAAGAAACAUCGAUUUCCGAAGUAGCGGCGAGCGAAACGGAAGGAGCCCAAACCUUUUUGGAAACAAAAAGGGGUAAGGACUGCAAAAAGGGAGCAAGGAAGGAAGCAGAACGGAACUGGAAAGACCGGCGAGAAAGGGUGAAAGCCCCGUAAGCGAAUCCAAAGAGGCCCCAGCAGGAUCCAGAGUACCGCAGGACACGAGAAAUCUGGCGGGAAGAAAGGGGGACCACCCCCAAAGGCUAAAUACUCCUUGGUGACCGAUAGAGAAGAGUACUGUGAAGGAAAGGUGAAAAGGACCCCGGGAGGGGAGUGAAAGAG